UUCAAAAUCGGAAACAAUCAUUUUUUGUGCAGAAAUUCACAAAAUCGGACAAGGCGUCUCAAAGAGGGCAUAGGGUGUCAGUCGGGAAAGGGCAGGUGGACCGCCCUAUGAAAACGAUCAAACUGUAACACUGAUGGUCAAUGCUAAGAUCUAUUUUAAAGAAUCCAAUGAAAAGACGCUGAUCAAGCAUCAAAACCAGAGACAUGACGAAACAUUAUAAAACUUGAAAACAGGAGGAGAUGGCUGGACAAACUAUGUAUCAUAUGUGGGAAGGAUGAAAGGACAGGGAUAAAACAAUAUGCCAACUGACAUUUUGUCUUUGUGGAAUAGAAAAACAAUUAUGGGUAAAAGUAAUUCAAACUGACAUUAUUUGUCUGGAUGCUUACAUUUAUAUACAAUAAAUCACACCUUGAAAUUCAUCAAAUAAUGAGAAGAAUUCUCACAUGUAUACCCAUAGACAAUUUUAAAGCCAUGUGAUUGCUCCAUUAUUCUGAUUUUUUUGUUUACAUAUAUAUCAUAUUGUAUUUGGUUAAAAAAAAAACUUGUAUUUGAUAGAAAGUUUGUACUUUGAAAUGAAUUUGAAUUAUUGUCAGUAAAGCAUUAAAUUAUACAUACAUGC